rnacentral:rRNA from 1 species
UACGUAGGGUGCAAGCGUUGUCCGGAAUUAUUGGGCGUAAAGAGCUCGUAGGCGGUUUGUCGCGUCUGCUGUGAAAACCCGAGGCUCAACCUCGGGCCUGCAGUGGGUACGGGCAGACUAGAGUGCGGUAGGGGAGAUUGGAAUUCCUGGUGUAGCGGUGAAAUGCGCAGAUAUCAGGAGGAACACCGGUGGCGAAGGCGGGUCUCUGGGCCGAAACUGACGCUGAGGAGCGAAAGCGUGGGGAGCAAACAGG